GUGAAAGGUGGUGGUGGUUAGAAAGUCAGUGAAAUUCUAAGUGUUAGAGUUUUAAGAGUAGAGUGUUAGUCUCAGAUGUUGUGAGUUGGAGUCCCCAAACUUCCAAUUCCUCUCUCCUCUUUUUCUUUCUCCUUUGCAUUCCUAUCUUCCCUUUGUCUUAACUUUUAAAGGGCCAGACUCUCUGUACGUCAUCAGUUGAUAACCCAAUAGAAGCACUAGAGGUGUGGUUAUCUUCCAAAUCGCAAUUUAGUUAUUUGGUCUAUAGAGGGCAGUCUUGUCCCACUAAACAUACCUAUCCAGGAAAGAGUUAACUUUUCUUGGUGGCUAUUUUGACGUCAUUUUGGCCUAUCUAGAUAGUGACCAUAACUUAAAAUUUCCAAGGGUUUCUUUAAGUUUUGUCCAGACUAU